rnacentral:rRNA from 1 species
UACGUAGGGUGCGAGCGUUUAAUCGGAAUUACUGGGCGUAAAGCGUGCGCAGGCGGUUCGUUGUGUCCGUCGUGAAAGCCCCGGGCUUAACCUGGGAACUGCGAUGGAAACUAGCGAGCUGGAGUGUGGCAGAGGGGGGUAGAAUUCCACGUGUAGCAGUGAAAUGCGUAGAUAUGUGGAGGAACACCGAUGGCGAAGGCAGCCCCCUGGGUCAAGACUGACGCUCAUGCACGAAAGCGUGGGGAGCAAACAGG